rnacentral:rRNA from 1 species
UGCCAGCAGCCGCGGUAAUACGGAGGGUGCGAGCGUUGUCCGGAAUCACUGGGCGUAAAGGGCGCGUAGGUGGCUUUGUAAGCGGGCGGUGAAAGUCCGGGGCUCAACCCCGGAUCGGCCGUGCGGACUGCAAAGCUCGAGCACUGUAGAGGCCGGUGGAAUUCCGGGUGUAGCGGUGGAAUGCGUAGAGAUCCGGAGGAACACCAGUGGCGAAGGCGGCCGGCUGGGCAGUGGCUGACACUGAGGCGCGACAGCGUGGGGAGCAAACAGGAUUAGAUACCCUGGUAGUCCACGCCGUAAACGAUGGGCACUAGGUGCUUCGGGGAGCGACCCUCGGAGUGCCGGCGCUAACGCAUUAAGUGCCCCGCCUGGGGAGUACGGCCGCAAGGCUAAACUCAAAGAA